UACGUAGGGGGCAAGCGUUGUCCGGAUUUAUUGGGCGUAAAGAGCGUGUAGGCGGCCAAGCAGGUCAGCUGUGAAAACUCGAGGCUCAACCUCGAGACGUCGGUUGAAACCGUAUGGCUAGAGUCCGGAAGAGGAGAGUGGAAUUCCCGGUGUAGCGGUGAAAUGCGCAGAUAUCGGGAAGAACACCCGUGGCGAAGGCGGCUCUCUGGGACGGUACUGACGCUGAGACGCGAAAGCGUGGGGAGCAAACAGG
rnacentral:rRNA from 1 species